rnacentral:rRNA from 1 species
UACGUAGGGGGCAAGCGUUGUCCGGAUUUAUUGGGCGUAAAGCGCGUGUAGGUGGCCAAGUAGGUCCGCUGUGAAAACUUGAGGCUCAACCUCAAGCUGUUGGUGGAAACCCCUUGGCUAGAGUCCGGGAGAGGUGAGUGGAACUGCGAGUGUAGAGGUGAAAUUCGUAGAUAUUCGCAAGAACACCAGUGGCGAAGGCGGCUCACUGGCCCGGUACUGACGCUGAGGUGCGAAAGCGUGGGGAGCAAACAGGG